CUCCAGUGCUUCUCUGUGAGAAGUAUUGAUUGGACGAUGCCUUCUCGCGGACGUUGCAGGUGAGGGAGAGGUAAGCAGCACCGACGGAGUCUCGAUGCUAAUUUUCCUUUUUGAGGGGCUGCACAUGCAUCCAAUUCUUCUUACAGGAUAGGAGCACUAUAGAGUCAGGAACACAGGCUUGCAUGACUAAUGCUGCAGUGUUCCUUUAAUUAUUUCACAAGUCCAAUAUCGGAAUAAAGGAUCAAACAUUGUAAGAAACUUGUAAUAUUUAUAACAACU